AAACUGCGAUAAGUAGUGUGAAUUGCAUUUAGUGAAUCAUCGAAUCUUUGAACGCACCCUGCACUCACUGGUAUUCCGGUGAGUACGCCUGUUUCAGUAUCAUUGAAAACACACAAUCAAAACAUUUUCUUUGGUUUGAUUGGCUUUGGGUCUAUCAAAAAGUUUGGCUUGUUUCUUACAAGCCAAGCGGCCUGAAAUAUAUUGUCUGUCUAAUUGCAUCGUUGAUGAUCGCUAUUAGACUUUGGCUUUUUUAAAUGAACUGGAGGUUGAUUAACCAGUUUUAGCUUUAGUCAAAUGGUCAUUGUAAAAAAAAUCUCGAUCUUGGCUAGGUGUUUAUAGCCGAAAAUUUUUUUUUGGCUAUAACCGAAACCAAUAUAAUCACAUUUAGUUAUCGAUCUGAAAUCAGGUGGGACUACCCGCUGAACUUAAGC
rnacentral:misc_RNA from 1 species